rnacentral:rRNA from 1 species
GAGCAGAGUUCGAUCUGGCUCAGAUUGAACGCUGGCGGGAUGCUUUACAUGCAAGUCGAACGGCAGCACGGACUUCGGUCUGGUGGCGAGUGGCGAACGGGUGAGUAAUGUAUCGGAACGUGCCUAGUAGCGGGGAUAACUACGCGAAAGCGUAGCUAAUACCUUGCGCGCUGGGGAAAGCGGGGGACCUUCGGGCCUCGCACUGUGGAAACGGCCGAUAUCGGAUUGCGCUGGUUGGUGGGUAACGGCUCGCAAGGCGACGAUCCGUAGCUGGAUUUGAGAGGACGACCAGCCACACUGGGACUGAGACACGGCCCAGACUCCCGGGAGAGCAGCAGUGGAAAUUUUGGACAAUGGAAACCUGAUCAGCCGUCACGACCAAUGCGAUGAAGGCCUUCGGGUUGUAAAAGCACUUUUGGCGGAAAGAAACGGCACGGGAUGGCACACGUGCAACUGACGUACCUGCAGAAUAGCGCAGCUAACUACGCUGGCGUGCGAUAAAUACGUAGGUGCAACGUCGUGGAAUUACUGGGCGUAAAGCGUGCGCGAGCGGUUCGGAAGAAAGAUGUGAAAUCCCAGAGCUUGCUUUGGAACUGCAUUUUUUUUAACUACCGAGCUAGAGUGUGUAGAGGAGGUGGAAUUCCGCGAUGUAGCAGUGAAAUGCGUAGAUGCGGAGGAACACCGAUGGCGAAGAGGCAAACCUCCUGGGAUAUACUGAUGGCGCUCCAUGCACGGCCUUCUGGGAGGCAACCAGGAUUCGAUGCACAAGUGAUUGCGCCUAAACGUCAUCAACCAUUGUUUGGGGCGGCCCCAGACGCGCUUGGUAGCGCAGCUAACGCGUGAAGUUGAUAUACAAGGAAAUACGGUCGCAAGAUUAAAACUCAAAGGAAUUGGCCGAGGUCCACACAAGCAGUGGAUGAUGUGGAUUAAUUGAUGCAACGCGAAAAAGUACCUACCCUUGACAUGUACAAGAUCCGAAGAGAUUUAGGAGUGCCAUGAAGGAGAACCGGAACACAGGUGCUGUAUGGCUGUCGUCAGCUCGUGUCGUGAGAUGUUGGGUUAAGUCCCGCAACGAGCGCAACCCUUGUCAUUAGUUACUGCAGGCACUCAAUGAGACUGCCGGUGGCUCAAGCCGGAGGAAGGUGGGGAUGACGUCGGGGCUCAUGGCCCUUAUGGGUAGGAGCUUACGUCAUACAAUGGUCGGGACAGAGGGUCGCCAACCUGAAGGCCAAUCCCAGAAACCCGAUCAUGCGUAGUCGGAUCGCGGUCUACCGCUCGACUGCGUGAAGUCGAUCUCGCUAAGUAAUCGCGGAUCAGCAUGUCGCCGCGGUGAGCCGCAUUUCCCGGGUCUUGCUUACACCGCCCGUCACACCGCUGGGGUGGGUUUUACCCGAAGUAGUUAGCCUAACCAUAGGAGGGCAGUUACCUGACCGGAUUCAUGACUGGGGUGAAAUUCAAUAACAGGUAA